rnacentral:rRNA from 1 species
UACGUAGGGGGCUAGCGUUGUCCGGAAUCAUUGGGCGUAAAGCGCGCGUAGGCGGCCCGGUAAGUCCGCUGUGAAAGUCAAAGGCUCAACCUUUGAAUGUCAGCGGAUACUGCCGGGCUAGAGUCCGGAAGAGGCGAGUGGAACUCCUGGUGUAGCGGUGGAAUGCGCAGAUAUCAGGAAGAACACCAACGGCGAAGGCAGCUCGCUGGGACGGAACUGACGCUGAGGCGCGAAAAGCGUGGGGAGCGAACAGG